GAUGAGAGAGAGAGUUUCUCUCUCUUCUCUCUCUUCUUUCAGUCUAAACCCUGACUUUCUCUCUCUGGAAUUGGACUUUCUCUCUCUACUUUCUCUCUCUAGAAUUUUCUCUCUCUAGAUUAUUUCUCUGUCUUGAUGGAUUUCUCUCUCUCUAAAGUUAUUCCUCUAGGAUUUGCAUAGUGAAAGGUUUCAUCUGAUGAUUUUGAUCGAGUUUAGGGAAGAGUCUGAUUUUAAGUGAGGUUUUGAUUUUGGGAUUUGUUAAAUUUAAUUUUGAAUUAAAAUUAAUAUAAAAAUAUAAUUUUGGAUAAUAGACACGGAAGAAUCUCCUAGAAGUUAGUCGAUCUGUUCAUUCAGUGCUCCGUGAAAGGUAAGUAAUGAAUCAUCUUCUCGAGAUAUUCCAUAUUUAUUCUGAAAAUAAAUAAUUAUUCUUUGAAAUUAUGUAUGAUUUAUGAAAUUAUGUUUUGAAAGAAAAGUGCUUUUGAAAUAUUAUGGUACGUCGAAUUAUGCACAUAUUCAGUGAAAAAAAGAUUAUGAUAUAUAUUAUGGUACAAAGUAUUUUGAUACAGAUCGGAUUUAUGCUCUCAGCCUAACUAUGUUUCAGUGGGCCCCGCCAAUGGGGAUUAUACAUUGGUACUCAGUGGACCCUGCCAGUAGGGGUUGUGCGCUGGUGUUUGUGGACCCUGCCAGUAGGGGUUGUGCGCUGGUAUUUGUGGACCCUGCCAGUGGGGGUUGUGCGCUGGUAUUCUGUGGACCCCGC
rnacentral:lncRNA from 1 species